GAUGAACGCUAGCUACAGGCUUAACACAUGCAAGUCGAGGGGAAACGGCAUUGAGUGCUUGCACUCUUUGGACGUCGACCGGCGCACGGGUGAGUAACGCGUAUCCAACCUUCCCAUUACUGUGGGAUAACCUGCCGAAAGGCAGACUAAUACCGCAUGGUCUUCGAUGACGGCAUCAGAUUUGAAGUAAAGAUUUAUCGGUAAUGGAUGGGGAUGCGUCUGAUUAGCUUGUUGGCGGGGUAACGGCCCACCAAGGCGACGAUCAGUAGGGGUUCUGAGAGGAAGGUCCCCCACAUUGGAACUGAGACACGGUCCAAACUCCUACGGGAGGCAGCAGUGAGGAAUAUUGGUCAAUGGACGGAAGUCUGAACCAGCCAAGUAGCGUGCAGGAUGACGGCCCUAUGGGUUGUAAACUGCUUUUGUAUGGGGAUAAAGUUAGGGACGUGUCCCUAUUUGCAGGUACCAUACGAAUAAGGACCGGCUAAUUCCGUGCCAGCAGCCGCGGUAAUACGGAAGGUCCAGGCGUUAUCCGGAUUUAUUGGGUUUAAAGGGAGCGUAGGCUGGAGAUUAAGUGUGUUGUGAAAUGUAGACGCUCAACGUCUGAAUUGCAGCGCAUACUGGUUUCCUUGAGUACGCACAACGUUGGCGGAAUUCGUCGUGUAGCGGUGAAAUGCUUAGAUAUGACGAAGAACUCCGAUUGCGAAGGCAGCUGACGGGAGCGCAACUGACGCUUAAGCUCGAAGGUGCGGGUAUCGAACAGG
rnacentral:rRNA from 1 species